GAGUUUGAUUAUGGCUCAGGAUGAACGCUAGCGGGAGGCCUAACACAUGCAAGCCGAGCGGGAUUUAUUAGUUAGCUUGCUAACUAAUAAUGAGAGCGGCGUACGGGUGCGUAACACGUGUGCAACCUGCCUUUAUCUGGGGGAUAGCCUUUCGAAAGGAAGAUUAAUACCCCAUAAUAUAUUGAUUGGCAUCAGUUAAUAUUGAAAGCUGAGGCGGAUAGAGAUGGGCACGCGUAAGAUUAGCUAGUUGGUGAGGUAACGGCUCACCAAGGCUGCGAUCUUUAGGGGGCCUGAGAGGGUGAUCCCCCACACUGGUACUGAGACACGGACCAGACUCCUACGGGAGGCAGCAGUGAGGAAUAUUGGACAAUGGGUGAGAGCCUGAUCCAGCCAUCCCGCGUGAAGGACUAAGGACCUAUGGUUUGUAAACUUCUUUUAUAACAGGGAUAAACCUACUCUCGUGAAGGGUAAG
rnacentral:rRNA from 1 species